AUGAUACCGAUGUUUCGCAUGAUACGACGGUUUAAAGAUUUUAUCGGUGAAAGAUGGCCCUGCGCCUGAUUAGCUAGUUGGUGAGGUAAAUGGCUCACCAAGGCGACGAUCAGUAGCCGGCUUGAGAAGAGUGAACGGCCACACUGGGACUGAGACACGGCCCAGACUCCUACGGGAGGCAGCAGUGGGGAAUUUUGCACAAUGGAGGAAACUCUGAUGCAGCGACGCCGCGUGAACGAAGACGGUCUUCGGAUUGUAAAGUUCUGUCCUUGGUGAAGAAGAAGUGACGGUAGCCAAGGAGGAAGCCCCGGCUAACUACGUGCCAGCAGCCGCGGUAAUACGUAGGGGGCAAGCGUUGUCCGGAAUGAUUGGGCGUAAAGGGCUCGUAGGCGGCUAAUCAAGUCUGGAGUGAAAGUCCUGCUUUUAAGGUGGGAAUUGCUUUGGAAACUGAAUAGCUUGAGUGUAGGAGAGGUUAGUGGAAUUCCCAGUGUAGCGGUGAAAUGCGUAGAGAUUGGGAGGAACACCAGUGGCGAAGGCGACUAACUGGACUAUAACUGACGCUGAGGAGCGAAAGUGUGGGUAGCAAACAGGAUUAGAUACCCUGGUAGUCCACACUGUAAACGAUGAAUGCUAGGUGUAGGUGGUAUCGACCCCCAUCUGUGCCGCAGUAAACACAAUA
rnacentral:rRNA from 1 species